rnacentral:misc_RNA from 1 species
GGAAGUAAAGGUCGUAACAAGGUCUCCGUAGGUGAACCUGCGGAGGGAUCAUUACAGAGUUCAUGCCCUCCGGGUAGAUCUCCCACCCAUUGCUAUAACUACUCUCGUUGCUUUGGCGGGCCGCUGGGCCCUGCCCGGCCGCCGGCCCCGGCUGGCGCGUGCCCGCCAGAGACCUCACAGACUCUGAAUGUUAGUGUCGUCCGAGUAACUAUACAAUCGUUAAAACUUUCAACAACGGAUCUCUUGGUUCUG